rnacentral:rRNA from 1 species
AAGCUCAAAGUUUUUGAAAUCUGGCGUCUUUGGCGUCCGAGUUGUAAUUUGAAGAAGGUAUCUUUGGGCCCGGCUCUUGUCUAUGUUCCUUGGAACAGGACGUCACAGAGGGUGAGAAUCCCGUGCGAUGAGAUGACCCGGGUCUGUGUAAAGUUCCUUCGACGAGUCGAGUUGUUUGGGAAUGCAGCUCUAAGUGGGUGGUAAAUUCCAUCUAAAGCUAAAUAUUGGCGAGAGACCGAUAGCGAACAAGUACAGUGAUGGAAAGAUGAAAAGAACUUUGAAAAGAGAGUGAAAAAGUACGUGAAAUUGUUGAAAGGGAAGGGCUUGAGAUCAGACUUGGUAUUUUGCAUGCUGCUCUCUCGGGGGCGGCCGCUGCGGUUUACCGGGCCAGCAUCGGUUUGGAGCGGCAGGAUAAUGGCGGAGGAAUGUGGCACGGCUUCUGCUGUGUGUUAUAGCCUCUGACGAUACUGCCAGCCUAGACCGAGGACUGCGGUUUUUACCUAGGAUGUUGGCAUAAUGAUCUUAAGUCGCCCGUCUUGAAACACGGACC